rnacentral:tRNA from 1 species
CAAGGAAUAGUUUAAAGGUAGAAUACCAGCUUUGGGUGUUGGUGGUGGGGCUAGUGCUUCUUCCUUGAUU